rnacentral:rRNA from 1 species
UACAGAGGUGGCAAGCGUUGUUCGGAAUUACUGGGCGUAAAGGGCGCGUAGGCGGCCUACUAAGUCAGACGUGAAAUCCCUCGGCUUAACCGGGGAACUGCGUCUGAUACUGGAUGGCUUGAGUUCGGGAGAGGGAUGCGGAAUUCCAGGUGUAGCGGUGAAAUGCGUAGAUAUCUGGAGGAACACCGGUGGCGAAGGCGGCAUCCUGGACCGAUACUGACGCUGAGGAGCGAAAGCCAGGGGAGCAAACGGG